UGAACGCUGGCGGCAGGCCUAACACAUGCAAGUCGAGCGGAAACGAGUUAUCAAAGCCUUCGGGUGGCGAUAGCGGCGUCGAGCGGCGGACGGGCGAGUAAUGCCUAGGAAAUUGCCCUGAUGUGGGGGAUAACCAUUGGAAACGAUGGCUAAUACCGCAUGAUGUCUACGGGCCAAAGAGGGGGACCUUCGGGCCUCUCGCGUCAGGAUAUGCCUAGGUGGGAUUAGCUAGUUGGUGAGGUAAGGGCUCACCAAGGCGACGAUCCCUAGCUGGUCUGAGAGGAUGAUCAGCCACACUGGAACUGAGACACGGUCCAGACUCCUACGGGAGGCAGCAGUGGGGAAUAUUGCACAAUGGGCGCAAGCCUGAUGCAGCCAUGCCGCGUGUAUGAAGAAGGCCUUCGGGUUGUAAAGUACUUUCAGUCGUGAGGAAGGCGGCGUCGUUAAUAGCGGCGUUGUUUGACGUUAGCGACAGAAGAAGCACCGGCUAACUCCGUGCCAGCAGCCGCGGUAAUACGGAGGGUGCGAGCGUUAAUCGGAAUUACUGGGCGUAAAGCGCAUGCAGGUGGUUUGUUAAGUCAGAUGUGAAAGCCCGGGGCUCAACCUCGGAAUAGCAUUUGAAACUGGCAGACUAGAGUACUGUAGAGGGGGGUAGAAUUU
rnacentral:rRNA from 1 species